rnacentral:rRNA from 1 species
CGAGUACGACCCGUUACGACGGGGAAGUGUCUGAUGUCAGGCUUCCAAGAAAAGCCCGAACCACGUUAAUUCAAAUUGGCCCGUACCCUAAACCGACACAGGUGGGAAGGUAGAGUAUACCCAGGGGCGCGAGAUAACUCUCUCUAAGGAACUCGGCAAAAUGGCCCCGUAACUUCGGGAGAAGGGGUGCCACCGAGAGGUGGUCGCAGUGAAGAGUCCCAGGCGACUGUUUACCAAAAACACAGGUCUCCGCUAAGUCGCAAGACGAUGUAUGGGGGCUGACGCCUGCCCAGUGCCGGAAGGUUAAGGAAGUUGGUCAGGGAGCAAUCCUGAAGCUAGCGACUGAAGCCCCGGUGAACGGCGGCCGUAACUAUAACGGUCCUAAGGUAGCGAAAUUCCUUGUCGGGUAAGUUCCGACCCGCACGAAAGGCGUAACGAUCUGGGAGCUGUCUCGGAGAGAGGCUCGGCGAAAUAGGAAUGUCUGUGAAGAUACGGACUACCUGCACCCGGACAGAAAGACCCUAUGAAGCUUUACUGUAGCUUGGUAUUGGGUUCGGGCUUUGAUUGCGCAGGAUAGGUGGGAGACUAUGAGAUAGCUCUUGUGGGAGUUAUGGAGUCACUGGUGAGAUACCACUCUAUCAAGGCUAGAAUUCUAACUUUGACCCGUUAUCCGGGCAGAGAACAGUAUCAGGUGGGCAGUUUGACUGGGGCGGUCGCCUCCUAAAUGGUAACGGAGGCGCGCAAAGGUUCCCUCAGGCUGGUUGGAAAUCAGCCAUUGAGUGUAAAGGCAUAAGGGAGCUUGACUGCGAGACUGACAAGUCGAGCAGGUACGAAAGUAGGCCUUAGUGAUCCGACGGUUCCGCGUGGAAGGGCCGUCGCUCAACGGAUAAAAGUUACUCUAAGGAUAACAGGCUGACCUCCCCCAAGAGUUCACAUCGACGGGGAGGUUUGGCACCUCGAUGUCGGCUCAUCGCAACCUGGGGCUGUAGUCGGUCCCAAGGGUUGGGCUGUUCGCCCAUUAAAGCGGUACGUGAGCUGGGUUCAGAACGUCGUGAGACAGUUCGGUCCAUAUCCGGUGCAGGCGUAGGAACAUUGAGAGGAGUCUUCCUUAGUACGAGAGGACCGGGAAGAACGCACCGCUGGUGUACCUGUUAUCGUGCCAACGGUAAACGCAGGGUAGCCAAGUGCGGAGAGGAUAACCGCUGAAAGCAUCUAAGUGGGAAGCCCACCUCAAGAUGAGUGUUCCCAUGGCAAAAGCCAGUAAGGUCACGGGUAGACCACCCGUUAAUAGGCGCUAGAUGGAAGUCCAGCAAUGGAUGUAGUCGAGGCGUACUAACAGACCGAGGGCUUG